rnacentral:rRNA from 1 species
UGGAGAAAAGCAGGGGAUCGCAAGACCUUGCGCUUUUGGAGUGGCCGAUGCCUGAUUAGCUAGUUGGUGGGGUAAUGGCCUACCAAGGCGACGAUCAGUAGUUGGUCUGAGAGGACGACCAGCCACACUGGGACUGAGACACGGCCCAGACUCCUACGGGAGGCAGCAGUGGGGAAUUUUGGACAAUGGGCGAAAGCCUGAUCCAGCAAUGCCGCGUGAGUGAAGAAGGCCUUCGGGUUGUAAAGCUCUUUCAGUCGAGAAGAAAAGGUUGUGACUAAUAAUCGCAAUUCAUGACGGUAUCGACAGAAGAAGCACCGGCUAACUACGUGCCAGCAGCCGCGGUAAUACGUAGGGUGCGAGCGUUAAUCGGAAUUACUGGGCGUAAAGGGUGCGCAGGCGGCUUUGUAAGUCAGAUGUGA